UACGGAGGGUGCAAGCAUUGAUCGGAAUUACUGGGCGUAAAGGGCGCGUAGGCGGCUAGGAAAGUCAGAUGUGAAAUUCCGGAGCUCAACUCCGGAGCGGCAUUUGAAACUUCCUGACUAGAGUGCAGUUAGGGAAAACGGAAUUCCACGUGUAGCGGUGAAAUGCGUAGAUAUGUGGAAGAACACCGGUGGUGAAGACGGUUUUCUGGGCUGAAACUGACGCUGAGGCGCGAAAGCAAGGGGAGCAAACAGG
rnacentral:rRNA from 1 species